GGCGAACGCUGGCGGCGUGCUUGACACAUGCAAGUCGAACGGUGAAGCGCCUUCCUUUUUGGUGGGUGUGGAUGAGUGGCGAACGGGUGAGUAACACGUGAGUAACCUGCCCCCUUCUUCUGGAUAACCGCAUGAAAGUGUGGCUAAUACGGGAUAUUCUGGGUCUGUCGCAUGAUGGGUCUGGGAAAGAUAUUGUUUCGGUGGGGGAUGGGCUCGCGGCCUAUCAGCUUGUUGGUGGGGUGAUGGCCUACCAAGGCGGUGACGGGUAGCCGGCCUGAGAGGGUGGACGGUCACACUGGGACUGAGACACGGCCCAGACUCCUACGGGAGGCAGCAGUGGGGAAUAUUGCACAAUGGGCGCAAGCCUGAUGCAGCGACGCCGCGUGAGGGAUGGAGGCCUGCGGGUUGUGAACCUCUUUCGCCAGUGAAGCAGGCCUGCCUCGUUUGUGGGUGGGUUGACGGUAGCUGGAUAAGAAGCGCCGGCUAACUACGUG
rnacentral:rRNA from 1 species